GUUGUAUGGUUAAGUGACUAAGCGUACACGGUGGAUGCCUUGGCAGUCAGAGGCGAUGAAAGACGUAGUAACUUGCGAUAAGCCCAGAUUAGGUAGUAACAACCAUUUGAGUCUGGGAUUUCUGAAUGGGGAAACCCACGUGCAUAAGCACGUAUCCUUACCUGAAUACAUAGGGUAAGGAGGCGAACCGGGGGAACUGAAACAUCUAAGUACCCCGAGGAAAAGAAAUCAACCGAGAUUCCGAAAGUAGCGGCGAGCGAAAUUGGACUAGCCCUUAAGCUUUACACGCGUUAGACGAACGGUCUGGAAAGUCCGACGAUACAGGGUGAUAGUCCCGUAGUUGACGACGUGUGUUCAGUGAAAUCGAGUAGGGCGGGACACGUGAUAUCCUGUCUGAAUAUGGGGGGACCAUCCUCCAAGGCUAAAUACUACUGACUGACCGAUAGUGAACCAGUACCGUGAGGGAAAGGCGAAAAGAACCCCUGUGAGGGGAGUGAAAUAGAACCUGAAACCGUGUACGUACAAGCAGUAGGAGCAGGCUUUGUCCUGUGACUGCGUACCUUUUGUAUAAUGGGUCAGCGACUUAUAUUCAGUGGCAAGGUUAACCAUCUAGGGGAGCCGUAGGGAAACCGAGUCUUAACUGGGCGUUCAGUCUCUGGAUAUAGACCCGAAACCAGGUGAUCUAGCCAUGGGCAGGUUGAAGGUUGAGUAACAUCAACUGGAGGACCGAACCGACUAAUGUUGAAAAAUUAGCGGAUGACUUGUGGCUAGGGGUGAAAGGCCAAUCAAACCUGGAGAUAGCUGGUUCUCCCCGAAAGCUAUUUAGGUAGCGCCUCGGACGAAUACUACUGGGGGUAGAGCACUGUUAAGGCUAGGGGGUCAUCCCGACUUACCAACCCUUUGCAAACUCCGAAUACCAGUAAGUACUAUCCGGGAGACACACGGCGGGUGCUAACGUCCGUCGUGGAGAGGGAAACAACCCAGACCGCCAGCUAAGGUCCCAAAUUACUACUAAGUGGGAAACGAUGUGGGAAGGCUCAGACAGCCAGGAUGUUGGCUUAGAAGCAGCCAUCAUUUAAAGAAAGCGUAAUAGCUCACUGGUCGAGUCGGCCUGCGCGGAAGAUGUAACGGGGCUAAGUAGUAAACCGAAGCUGCGGCAAUGUGCUUUUGCACAUUGGGUAGGGGAGCGUUCUGUAAGCGGUUGAAGGUGUGUGGUAACGCAUGCUGGACGUAUCAGAAGUGCGAAUGCUGACAUGAGUAACGAUAAAGGGGGUGAAAAACCUCCUCGCCGGAAGACCAAGGGUUCCUGUCCAACGUUAAUCGGGGCAGGGUAAGUCGACCCCUAAGGCGAGGCCGAAAGGCGUAGUCGAUGGGAAACGGGUUAAUAUUCCCGUACUUCUUACAAUUGCGAUGGGGGGACGGAGAAGGCUAGGUGGGCCUGGCGACGGUUGUCCAGGU
rnacentral:rRNA from 1 species